rnacentral:sRNA from 1 species
CGGCUUUGAAUGUCCUUUGAAUACUUCUGUGAGAGUAGACGACUUGUGCGUCCUGUGGAACAACCAGUUGGUUACUUGGUUGGAUGCGAAGAAAACUUGCGCUAACAUGGGAAUGCAUGUAGCAACAGUACGUUCUACUGACCAGAUGGCAAGAAUAAAGCAAGCUCUGCCAUCAAGCAUAAAACUGGAUAUCUGGACAGGCGCGAAUGACAUUGAAAGAGAAGGUCAUUUUGUCUGGGAAGAGGACAAUAGUCCGGUUGUGGAAAAAAUCUGGAAGAAGGGCGAACCGAACAACCAAAAUAUUGUCCACGGGGAGGAAGAUUGUACUUUUAUUAAUCCGGGACUCAUGAUGUAUGACAUUUGGUGCACAGCUCGACGUAACUCACUUUGCAUAU